GUUGGGUUAAUAUUUCAUUGUUUUGGGAUUCCUAAUCCCAGUGUUAGUAGGAUUAACAACUAUAUUAUAAAUGCCUAUGUUCUCUAGGUAUUUUAGUAGAUUUUUAUUCAUUGGCAAUUGAUUUUGAAUUUGAGAAUUGUUUCUCAUUCCUAUCCUUGUUUGCAUUUCUAUAUCAUCAGGUUACCUUAUAACCGGUCUUGCACCAAGAGAUGGACUAAAACUAGAGUUCCAAACUUGGAGGUCUCGUGUUCAAACCCAACUUAGCACAGUUUUAGCAACCAAACCAUU
rnacentral:misc_RNA from 1 species